GCCUGGUUAGCUCAGUGGUAGAGCGCUUCUCCUACAAAGAAGAUGUCAUUGGUUCAAAUCCAGUACCGGGCA
rnacentral:tRNA from 1 species